AUGACGGAAAAUGGAUCUCCACUUAGCAAGGCGAGGGCAGAGUGUGCAGGCGCCAGCGGGACGGGGCGGCCUGGGGCUUGCCGCUGGGCAGGCCGGGGUAGCCCAAGGGAGACCAAAUACUCUACCUUGGGCAUCGCCCUUUGGAGGCGGGCAGAGUCCAGCCGCAGGCCACAAAACGAUGCCCACCCGAAGGACUCCACAAAGACAGUCCUUUCCUUGCUCACCGCCGACAAAGUGGUUGGGGCUGAAAGGCGAGGUUUUCCAGACUACUGGGUUAGCCUGCUCCUUUGGGAAGCUAUGAAGCAAGGAUACCAUCUCAAGUUUGCCCCCAGUUUAGGUGUCCUGGGCAUCCUGGUGGUAGUGAUGGAGAAGGCGCAGAUCAUUCAUGGGGAAUAUAACUGAAACCAGUCCUCCCCACCCCCUGGGGAUCUUCACUUUCCCAGUCUACAUCUGCCUGUGACUCCAGAAAGACAAACUGCAGAUUUGCCAAGCUGCCUGACGACCCAGCACGACAGCGAUGCCUGCCAGCCUGCGAAGCCCACCAGGGCAGCUGCUCUCCCUACUCGCACCCCCCACCUCGGUGCCCUAGAGCUGAGCGCAGCCGCGGCUCCACGGGGAUAGCCAGGGCCUCAGCCCUCGCGGCCGGUGGCGCGGGAGUGUUGCGGGUCAGGGACCAGAGGGCUACCAGAGCAGCCACCCCCGAUUUAGGUCGCCAACUUUCCAGCCACUGCGACGGCCACUGGGGCGCCCCUUCCAUCCUGGUUAAAUUCUCAUUGUGAUCCCCAGUCCCCGCCUCGGUUCCGGACAUCCAGGGGGCCGGUUCUCCGCGGUUCAGGCUGGGAGAGGUCACCGCUCCGGGCAGGGCGGACCCCCAGCUCCAUCUCGGAGGACCUUUCGACCGAGGAGAGCAGGAAGGGGUUAACCAUGAGCCUCCCACCCUCAUCUCCCAGCCCCUGGUGCCGGGCGAAGGCCGCGCCGCUUCCCUCCUGAGGUCUCAUUAGGGUAACCCUCACCGCUAUUUUCAACAUUUCCUCAAUCAAGUGCCUUUAAAUAGAGCUGCACAAACAGAUUGGCGGCAAAAGCGUAGAUCUUGUCACGAUUGAGACCAAUCCAAUAUUUCAGCUUUGUUUGCUUUGCAAUUACGGGUUGGCUUGUGGCUGCGGUGCCACUGGGGCAAAUCUGCAACCGCUCGCUUUCUCCUCUGCACUCGGGGCUGGUGGAGGAAGCGACCCGCGGAGUCACUGCAGGGAGGAGAGGGGGACGCGCGCGGGGGGACGCGCGCGGGGGGAAGCGGCGGAGGGCGGAGGAGCCUCGCUUGCACCCCAGGGCCGCGGGCACGCAGAGCUGUGUUGAAGGACACAUUUUUCAGUUCCUGACAGUCACUGAGCUAUACGCAAUAAUAAAGCGCGUGAUUUGCGUGUGGAAACCGGUGUCGUGUCCUCACCAGCUUCCUUUUCUGCCCACCUUCUCUCUCUCUUCUACCUCCGUUUCGCUUUUCUUCAGUGUAUGCUAGUGGUUUGGUGGAUUUCUCUUCUCCCUCGCUGUUCAACUGCUAGCAUGAUUUGUUACAUUUUCCACAGCUGUUUAUUCUUGUUUGACUUUUUGUACAAAGUCACUUUAAAUCUGCUGCAGAAAGAAUAAAGCUCCUAACCCUUUGGAUGGGCUCCUGCAGGCGUAUGGCUGUCCCCGGCCCACUUUUAAUUCUUUGGAGAUGGCUCUUCUGUGUAAAUUAGCUGCUGGAUGCGUUCGGUCACUUCGUAGGCCAGCCUAGUUUGUAUCAGCAGAACAGUAGUGAACUCAAAUCAGGUCGUAAGCCUUAUAUUUCACAGACAAUUAAAUCUUGGCUGCUGUUGAACAAAACUGUAAUAUUUACUCUGCUCUAUACCAAGGAGCACUUUUAAAGUAAAAAAGAAA